rnacentral:rRNA from 1 species
UUGUCGUCAGCUCGUGUCGUGAGAUGUUGGGUUAAGUCCCGCAACGAGCGCAACCCUCGCCUCUAGUUGCCAGCAUUCGGUUGGGCACUCUAGAGGGACUGCCGGCGACAAGUCGGAGGAAGUGGGAUGACGUCAAAUCAUCAUGCCCCUUAUGACCUGGGCUACACACGUGCUACAAUGGGCGGUACAAAGGGCUGCGAACCCGCGAGGGGGAGCGAAUCCCAAAAAGCCGCUCUCAGUUCGGAUUGCAGGCUGCAACUCGCCUGCAUGAAGCCGGAAUCGCUAGUAAUCGCGGAUCAGCAUGCCGCGGUGAAUACGUUCCCGGGCCUU